rnacentral:rRNA from 1 species
AGUGAACGCUGGCGGUAGGCCUAACACAUGCAAGUCGAACGGCAGCACAGUAAGAGCUUGCUCUUACGGGUGGCGAGUGGCGGACGGGUGAGGAAUACAUCGGAAUCUACUUUUUCGGGGGGGAUAAGGUAGGGAAACUUACGCUAAUACAGCAUACGACGUACGGGUGAAAGCAGGGGAUCUUCGCACCUUGCGCGAUUGAAUGAGCCGAUGUCGGAUUAGCUAGUUGGCGGGGUAAAGGCCCACCUAGGCGACGAUCCGUAGCCCGUCUGAGUGGAUGGUCGGCCACACUGGAACGGGAACGCGGUCCAGACGCCUACGGUAGGCAGCAGUGGGGAAUAUUGGACAAUGGGCGCAAGCCUGAUCCAGCCAUACCGCGUGGGUGAAGAAGGCCUUCUGGUUGUAAAGCCCUUUUGUUGGGAAAGAAAAGCAGCAGGUUAAGACCCCGCUGUUCUGACGGUACCCAAAGAAGAAGCACCGGCUAACUUCGUG